ACGAGUCUCAUUAUAACCAGUAAAAUCAUUACAAAUUUUGUAAUGGUGUCUAUUGUUUUUUGUUUGUUUUUUCAGUAGGGGUCCAUUGUGCAAACCUCUUUAAGCUUUGCUUUGCUUUUGUUAGAGGCACCUAUAUUAAAAUAAAUUGUACUGCAGGUACCAUGUUUGAAUGUCUUUGGAGGCCACUAGUAGGAGUCUGGAGACUCCUGUGCAGCCAUGUGACUGAUGACUCUGGUGGGAUAUUUGAGUGUCUGUGGAGGCCUCUGAGAAGAGUCUGGAGACUCCUGUGCUGCCAUGAACCUGGUGAUUCUGAAAUAAAACUUUCAGUGGAAGAAAGGACACCACUAUUCAGUGAUCAAAGCUCUGUCCAUCCAUGGUGAAGACCUCAGGAGGUUUUCUUCACUGAGG
ensembl:lncRNA